UACGUAGGGGGCAAGCGUUGUCCGGAUUUAUUGGGCGUAAAGAGCUCGUAGGUGGUUCGGUAAGUCGGAUGUGAAAUCUCCAGGCUCAACCUGGAGGGGUCAUUCGAUACUGCCGUGACUAGAGUUCGGUAGGGGAGUGUGGAAUUCCUGGUGGAGCGGUGAAAUGCGCAGAUAUCAGGAGGAACACCCGUAGCGAAGGCGGCACUCUGGGCCGUACCUGACGCUAAAGCGCGACAGCAUGGGGAGCAAACGGG
rnacentral:rRNA from 1 species